GUUUUUUUUCAGUGAGAUUGAUAAGCCAUGAAGAUUCAAAGAUUAAUAUCACAGCACCUAAGAUCCCCUGAGACCCCACACGCUUAGAGAGAGCUGUGCCUCUCACUCAGAAGUUGCCGACGAGCGCCAAGCUGUCCGGUUCCAGCACAGCCCCGCCCAGGUACCCCGCCAGCCUCUACCUCAAACUGUGGCUCGAGAGCCCCGGGCCCGACCCCAGUCCCUCAAGGCCCUCACCGCUGCCCCGCAGUGUCCAGCAAAAGCCCUGGCACGCCGGGAACUCGCACCCGGUUCUCCUCAUUGAGCGCACCCGUCUUUCUCCAAUCAAGUCAGCCGACCGUCAGCAUCUCAGAACCCACGCUCUCUCCAUCUUGCCCUGCGAUCCUACUCCGAAGCACAGGAGGAUUCGCUGAGGACCUGCAUCCCCACCGCUCGGUCCGGAGCAGCGCCCCCAGAGCACACAGCGGGACUCCCGCGCGCUCCCCUGGCCGGGAACCCCCUCGGGGAAUCACGAUGGCCUUCGAGGCAGCCCAGCUGUCAGCGAGCAAGCGUCUAUUUUAAACCCGCACCGAGUGUCCCCGCCCUGAGGACACGGGCAAGGGACCAGCGACUCGGAUAACGCGUUGCCGGCACGAUCCCUGGGGAAACGCAAGUCUCCGCGAAGCAGGCGGCGGGGACACUAAAAGGUCCCAACACACAUGACCCGAAAUCCUACCAAGGGAAUCAGGGACCCGGAAUCAAAGUGGAGAUGCCCCGUAGAGGCCACCUUGGCAAACCUGGAAAGGGAGUCGCAGGCGAGCCCUUUCCAGCAACCUCUGCCCCUCCCGUGCUCUGCUCUAGUCAAUUUCUGGACAAUCCAGGUGAUAGCCCGCAACCCGAAAUAUUACUUAGAAAGCAUUACGACUGGGGACUAUCAAGUUAUGAACAGCCACAGCGCCUAACCAGGUCCCAGACGGCUGAAAGAGCCGGGUGCACGCGUACGCGGGUCUUGGUGCUCACACACAAAUCCGUCCAGGCCAGGAUCCAGAUUCUAGUUCGCACACUGACAAGUCCCUAAGUCUAACAGAAAAUACAGAAUUUCAUUCACCCACCUCUUUUCCUGUCUUCUUUGGAUUAGAAUCCAGGGGAAUUACCGGGAAAG